GACGAACGCUGGCGGCGUGCCUAAUACAUGCAAGUCGAGCGAAUGGAUGGGAGCUUGCUCCCGGAAGUUAGCGGCGGACGGGUGAGUAACACGUGGGCAACCUACCUGUAAGACUGGGAUAACUUCGGGAAACCGGAGCUAAUACCGGAUAACUUCUUUCUUCUCCUGGAGAAAGGUUGAAAGACGGCUUCGGCUGUCACUUACAGAUGGGCCCGCGGCGCAUUAGCUAGUUGGUGAGGUAACGGCUCACCAAGGCAACGAUGCGUAGCCGACCUGAGAGGGUGAUCGGCCACACUGGGACUGAGACACGGCCCAGACUCCUACGGGAGGCAGCAGUAGGGAAUCUUCCGCAAUGGACGAAAGUCUGACGGAGCAACGCCGCGUGAGUGAUGAAGGUUUUCGGAUCGUAAAACUCUGUUAUCAGGGAAGAACAAGUAUCGGAGUAACUGCCGGUACCUUGACGGUACCUGACCAGAAAGCCACGGCUAACUACGUGC
rnacentral:rRNA from 1 species